AUACGUAGGGGGCGAGCGUUGUCCGGAAUGAUUGGGCGUAAAGGGCGCGUAGGCGGCGCGGUAAGUCUGGAGUGAAAGUCCUGCUUUCAAGGUGGGAAUUGCUUUGGAUACUGCCGCGCUUGAGUGCAGGAGAGGUUAUCGGAACUCCCGGUGUAGCGGUGAAAUGCGUAGAGAUCGGGAGGAACACCAGUGGCGAAGGCGGGUAACUGGACUGCAACUGACGCUGAGGCGCGAAAGUGUGGGGAGCAAACAGGAUUAGAUACCCUGGUAGUCCACACUGUAAACGAGGAAUGCUAGGUGUAAGAGGUAUCGACCCCUUGUGUGCCGGAGUCAACACAAUAAGCAUUCCGCCUGGGGAGUACGGCCGCAAGGUUGAAACUCAAAUGAAUUGACGGGG
rnacentral:rRNA from 1 species